rnacentral:rRNA from 1 species
GACGAACGCUGGCGGCGUGCUUAACACAUGCAAGUCGAACGGAAAGGCCUUUUCGGAGGUACUCGAGUGGCGAACGGGUGAGUAACACGUGGGUGAUCUGCCCUGCACUCUGGGAUAAGCCUGGGAAACUGGGUCUAAUACCGGAUAGGACCGCACUUUAGUGUGUGUGGUGGGAAGUUUUUUCGGUGUAGGAUGAGCCCGCGGCCUAUCAGCUUGUUGGUGGGGUAAUGGCCUACCAAGGCGGCGACGGGUAGCCGGACUGAGAGGUUGGUCGGCCACAUUGGGACUGAGAUACGGCCCAGACUCCUACGGGAGGCAGCAGUGGGGAAUAUUGCACAAUGGGCGCAAGCCUGAUGCAGCGACGCCGCGUGGGGGAUGACGGCCUUCGGGUUGUAAACUCCUUUCGCCAGGGACGAAGCGUUUUGUGACGGUACCUGGAGAAGAAGCACCGGCUAACUACGU